GACGAACGCUGGCGGCGUGCUUAACACAUGCAAGUCGAACGAAGUGGCGAACGGGUGAGUAACGCGUAAUCAACCUGCCCUUCAGAGGGGGACAAAAGUUGGAAACGACUGCUAAUACCGCAUACUGAAGGAGGGGAUUGCGUCUGAUUAGCUAGUUGGAGGGGUAACGGCCCACCAAGGCGAUGAUCAGUAGCCGGUCGGAGAGGAUGAACUGCCCCGUUGGCACUGCGACACGGCCCAGACUCCUACUGUAGGCAGCAGUGGGGACUCUUCCGCAAUGGACGAAAGUCUGACGGAGCAACGCCGCGUGAGUGAUGACGGCCUUCGGGUUGUAAAGCUCUGUUAAUCGGGACGCGGUACCGGAAUAGAAAGCCACGGCUAACUACGUGCCAGCAGCCGCGGUAAUUC
rnacentral:rRNA from 1 species